AGCGAAACUCCGUCUCAAAAAGAAAAAAAAAAAAGAAAGAAAAAUGAUUUGUUGAAAAGUGUACUUCAAGACUUUUUAGAUUGUGAAAUCAUUUUAUAACCAUUAUCUGAUUUAUGGCACAUGAUUUUUAAAAAAUUAGCCACCCUCCAAAGCACAUUCAUUCCUGUGCAACUCAAAAUGUCAAAAUAAAUACACGUGUAGAAAAUCUUAUUUAUAAAAAUGGAAAACUUCCCUGAAUAUUUGUUGGACUCUUCUGUUUUGUUUUUGUUUUUUUUUUUUUGUUUUUUUUUUUUAAAAAGCUUGGGAUUACUUAUAUUCUAGUCAAUGCAUAUGCUGGUCAUCUCAGAGCUCAUUUCAGUAUCUCAUGACAUAGACAUAUAGUGUCCUCAUGCCUGUUUUUCACUGUCUGACAUGGAACAUGCCCUUGUUCUUCUCCUUUUCCCAUCAAAGUGAAUCAUGUAUGUGUUCCAUUCUUUAGACACCUAUUAGAUGAUUAACUGGCAGAUCUGUAGAUUAGUUUUUUGCAUAUACUGUAUUUCAUCUAUUUUAAGAUUACAUUGUUUUUCUACAUGCUAAUGUCUCUGAAAUAGGGCUGCAUCCUGAAAUUCUAUGGCAUCUUUUCAUCAAUUAAGAGUGACUUGUUUGUCAUUUUCUACACAGCGAGAUUUGUUCAUCGCUGUUUAUAUGAUCAUCACAGCAAUGUGUUAUAUGCUUUCUAGGUACUAUAUUACAUGCAUUGAGUUUAAAAUGUCUCCAGAGAAACUAUAAUGUGAUUCCUCAUUGAAACAAAAGUUGUUAUACAUACAGGACGGUGCAGAAAAAGAGCAGGUACAUGAGUUUGAUGUUAGUGAUUGUGGUAAACAGCAUAAUAUCCCUCUUCCCUCAAAGAUGUCCACAUAGCCAUCCUGGGAACCUGUGAAUAUGUUACCUUACCUGGGGAAGGAGAAUUAAAAUUGCUAAUCAAAUGGCUUUAAAAUAGGGAGAUUUUCCUGGAUUGUUUGGGUGGGUCCAAUGCAAUCACAUCACCAGAGUCUUUAAAAGUGGGAGAGGGAAGCAGGGGAGGAGUCAGAGUCGAGGGAGAUGUGACUACAAAAGAGAGAAUCAGAGAGAUGGCAGUGUGAAUACAUGGCCUGACAUUGCUGGUUUUGAAUGGAACCAGCUGGUUCCAUUGCUGGUUUUGAAUGAGCCAAGGAAUGUGGACAGCCUCUAGAAGCCGGAAAAGGCAGGGAAACGGAUUCUAUCAUAGAGCCUCGCGAAGGAAUGCGGCUCUGCUGACAACUUUAUUUUAGACCUUUGGGACACAUUUAGGACUUCUGACUUCCAUAACUAUAAGACAGUGAAGUUUGUGUUGUUUCAGGGCACUGAUUUGGUAGUAAUUUGUUACAGCAGCAAUAGAACGGUAAUACAAUUAUAUUAGUGAUUAGUGGAGAAAAGACUCUAAUUUCUGAUUUUCUGGCAAAGAAUAAACCAAAUAUUUUAUAAAAACUAAAAAGUAAAAGAUACCUACAUGUACUUGAACCUGCAUUAUAUACCAUUAAAUUCUUACACAUAUAUGUGGAAAAUGAUUAUUUACCAUACAACUAGUAGCGCAACUAAAGGCAGAAGACAGAAGAAAUCGCCAAGUCUUUGGGAUCUGAUAAAAGAAAUCUCAAAGCAACAAGAGACUGGUGGACCAAUUCAAAUAACACAUAGAACUAUCUGAGUCAUAGUAUAAUUUAAAAUAUUUGUUCUUUCUUAGGGAUACAUAAAAUAAUGGUGUGUCUUACAAUUGAUGUCACCUUUCAUUCAAUGAAAUAUGUUAAUAUUAAUUAGUGUUUAUAUCAUAAGAGUAAAGCUCAUUGUGUAAAUUUUGGACGGAAAUAUAUAAAUAUAUAAAUAAGAAAAGCGAAAUCUUCCAUAAUUCCCCAGUAUCAGUCAGGAUAGUCUAAUUUGUGUUAUUAUAACAAGCAACCCCCAAAUCUCAAUUGCUGAAGCAACAAAGAUUUAUGGCUUGCUCAUACUACCUGUCCACUGUGGCAAGGCGAGCCUGUACUCAUAAUACCAUUCAGAUACUGAGGUUAAUGGGGCACCACUGAGUUGAACAUUAUUGUUAGUCCUGUAAAAGUUCAAUGAACCUCAAGCACGACAACAUGAGAAAAGUAUAACAAAGCACAUCAAAAUCAAAUUGCUUAAAACCAGCAAUGAAGAGAAAAAUCUUAAAAGUAGCCAGGAGUUAAUGAACAAACUUGGAGAGCUAACACUAUCUUAUUUUGAGAUUCAUUAUAUACUUACAGAGCAGUGUAAUUGUAGCCUAAAAAUAGGCAAGUAAAUCAACAGAACAGAGUAGCAAGUUCAGAAAGAGAUCCACAAGUGCAUGGACAACUGAUUUUUGACAAAGGUACACAGGCAAGUCAAUGGGAAAAGGAUAGUCUUUUCAACAAAUGUUACUGCACAAUGUGAUAUCAAUAUGCAAGAAAAUAAACUGUGAUACAUACCUUGCGCCAUAUAUAAAAUUUAAUUCAAAACGGGUCACUGGACUCAAAUAUACAAUCUAAAAUAACACUUGUAGAGAAAGGGACAGCAGUCUAUGGCAGUAGACUGACUUUCUGUUUUUGUAAAUAAAGUUUUUUUGAAAAACAACUCUACUCAUUUGUUUGCAUAUCGUCUAUAAGAGUUUCCAUGCUAUGACAGGGUUGAGUAGUUGUAUUUCUAGGACAAUUGAAAGAGAACAAGAGAGAGAAACAGAUUAUGCUUUAUAGUAACUGGCAUUGCCAUAGCCUUUACAGAGGGUCUUGAAUUACUGCCUUUGGAAGAAAGUGGCAUAGUUAAAGUAUUUAGCUUUCUGAUUAUUCUCAAAGAAAUACUUCUAAUCUAAACCAUUACCAUGUGUAGUCUUUGUGUCCCCAUUCUUGUAAGUUACAUAAUUAGUAAUUAAUCAGUCUUUGAUUUUAUUUUAUCACUGUGAUUUUCCUGUACAAGGGUUUUAAGACUUAUAAGUCUGGAAAUCAUAUAAUUUGGUGGUAAUUUAGAGGGCAUGUAAGGGGCUCAGAAGUCCUCUCUCCUCACAAAUUUGUCACCUAUGACAGGUACCUAAAAUUCUACCAUCACUUCUGUCCCACAGUUACUUAAAAUUUUGACGCCUUUUAUAUGUUAUUACAAAUGGCUUAUUUAUAAGAGCAUGCUGGGAAUGGGGAAUAUAUAAAGCAUGAAGUCAGUUUUCACCUGGUAGGGACAAAAGGGUAGUGCAUCCCUGAAGAUGCAGAAGAACAUCAAAGAUGAGUCUAACUCUUACAAUUUUGCUGAGGCUGCCCCUGGUGACACCCCACUGAAAUAUAUUAAAGCAAACAAUUCCAGUUGCAAGUGCAUUUCAGCACAAAACAGAUAUAGUAGGACCACUACCAUUGAGUUUCUCUCCUUCAGUUUGUAGGGUGCUGAUAUCACCACAAAUUAAAAAUAACCAAAUAGAAAUCACUUUUCUUGCUUUCUAUUUUGCCAGAACACCCAGAUGCAAAAUAAAAUAUUCAAUCUCCCAUCUGGAUAUUUUGUCUCUGUGAUGCCAAAUAUACAAAUGCUUCCAAAGUGCUGAACUAUUGAUGACAUUUUUCAUCUUUCCUUUACAAUGUUUUGACACUGGCGAUGCAAGUGCUGUAUCCAAUUAGAAGUUUUACUUCUCAAUAAACUGCUCAAUUGCAUCAAUAGCCACCUCCACUUCACUGAGUUGUGUUCAUCUACUGACAACUUACUAUAAUGGCAAAAAGUGUGGACAAUGUGGGUACACUGCUAGAGUCCAAAUCCCUUUUCAGCUGCUUACUAGCUGUGUUACCUUAAGGGAGUUAUAUAGCUUUUCCUUGCCUAUUUCUGCAUCUGCAAAAUGAAGAUAAUAAGCAUAACUACCAGAAUUGUGGCCAAAAUUAACUCAGAUAAAUGUAAAGUGCCAGGCAUAUAAUGAACAUUCAAUAAAUAAUAUCUUUCUGUUAUUCCUUUUAGUAAAGCAUUCAUUGAUGUCAUAGAGCUACCUUGGAACCGGGAGUGAAUAACCCUGGGGGCUCCUAGGUCCUCAGUCUUUUCUUCCAUUUGUUAAAAGAGAUCUAGAGUGACUUGAAUGGUGCAAAUGCCAAGCCAAAUCAGUGGUGGGGGUGCAGGACCUUGCAAUACCCUUCAAGCACACGCAGACCUGCCUGGGCAUGUGAUCCCAUUCUUUCCCAUGUGUUUACAAAGUGAGCAAGGCAGGGGGUCUUCUUUCAUUUUGUUAUAAGUAGCUACAUGAUUAUAAAACGGGAUAACAGCCAUUGCUAAUCUUCCCUAUUCAAUGCCAGAGGAAUUUCCUCUUAUUAAGGACCUUUGUCUUGGAAUUUGGAUUUAGGAUUUUAUAACCUCAAUGGAAAAAGAGGAAGGGAAAAUAAGCUAUUUAGUGUUGUACAUUCCAGCCUGAAACAAUUGUCCUUCAGAUAUGCACCCUACGGAUGCAGCUGUUGAUUUGGGAGGUUACUUUUGUUCAGAGGUGAGUCAGCCCUUAGCCAAACUAUGAAGGAUGCAGUGUUGAUCCUUUGAGUUCCCCUGCCUCCCUUUGAGUGUUCUUUGGCCCCUGUGUAAUGCCUCAGCCUAAGGUGUCCAGUGUAUUCUUGAUGGUUGGGAUCUUCCCUCCCAGCAAUGAAGGAAAGAGAUUUGAUAAAUUAUUUCACAAUAAUGUGUCAGAUCCUAAUUUGUUACCUCUCUGAGAGAAACUUUGAAAGACACUGCUUAUAAAGGAGAAAUCCUUAUUGGUGGGCAUUGCACCAUAAAGAGUCUCAGGGAAGGAAGGGAUGCAGACAGAGAUUAGGAGACUCUGAUCUUCAUAUCCCAACUAGCUAUUAUAUUGGAGUCUAAGGCCAACCCCACCUUGAGCACGUAUCAAGAGGUAGUGAUCACAAAGUUAAACUGUUCAAAAAUCAAUAAUUAAAACUACCAUUCCCCCAAGUGUCAGUGAAUCUCUGGGGCUGAGAUAACCUUCGAAGAGAAAUAACGUAAAGCUAAAAGAAAAACAUCAGCCGGGCGCGGGGGCUCACGCCUGUAAUCCCGGCACUUUGGGAGGCCGAGGCUGGUGGAUCACGAGGUCAGGAGAUCGAGACCAUCCUGGCUAACACGGUGAAACCCCAUCUCUACUAAAAAAUACAAAAGAAUUAGCCGGGCGUGGUGGCAGACGCCUGUGGUCCCAGCUACUCGGGAGGCUGAGGCAGGGAGGUCAAGGCUGCAGUGAGCCAUGUUCAUGCCUGGGCAACAGGGAGAGAC
rnacentral:lncRNA from 10 species